ACUCGCUCACGUCUCAUAUCCCACAUAGAAUAGAAAUCCAAAUCAGACCACCUCUCCUCCUCCCGGGCGCACAGGAUCUUAGAAUCCCGACAAAUAACCGCAUCCACAAUGAGGAUCCCAGAAUCGCGCCAAACGGCGAUGCGAUUGACAUAACCGACCACAGAACACUACCAAAUCCCAAAAUUCCAGCAAUUACAUACCCGACAGAGAUCCCUAUCCCCACUGUAGGAUAAAAGAACUGUUCAAAUCGACAAUCCAAAAGUGUACAAAAUACUAACAAACUAAUCUUGCAACAACACCAAACAAGAUUAAAGUUUACAGACAGAUUCCAACAAUCCAACUCACACCUCUGUAGGUGGCCAAAAUUUAAUGCGGAUCUCACAAAUCACAAGUGACAAAAUCAUUGAUUGUUUAGCACCUUGACGUUGCCUUCCUGGAGAGUGCAGGCCGAGCGAAGAUAGAGCAGAGAGGAUUAGCGUCUCUAGACUGAGCAGAGAGAGAGAGAGAGUAGAGAAAGCCAGUGCAGUUUCCCUGGCCAAGAUCGAGUAUUACUGCAGCUAUCACGACGAACAGCGGGCGCAAGUCCUUUUCGUGGCGUGCUUGGCGAUGGCGAUGAUGACCGGAGAUAGGAGCGAGGUUGGAUGCGGGAUUGAGAAGCCUGAAGCGAGCCUACAGCCUACGCGAGCAGUGAGCGGGCAUUGGUAGGAGG
rnacentral:lncRNA from 1 species